CACUCCUACGGGAGGCAGCAGUGGGGAAUUUUGGACAAUGGGCGAAAGCCUGAUCCAGCAAUGCCGCGUGAGUGAAGAAGGCCUUCGGGUUGUAAAGCUCUUUUGUCAGGGAAGAAACGGUGAAAGCUAAUAUCUUUUGCUAAUGACGGUACCUGAAGAAUAAGCACCGGCUAACUACGUGCCAGCAGCCGCGGUAAUACGUAGGGUGCAAGCGUUAAUCGGAAUUACUGGGCGUAAAGCGUGCGCAGGCGGUUUUGUAAGUCUGAUGUGAAAUCCCCGGGCUCAACCUGGGAAUUGCAUUGGAGACUGCAAGGCUAGAAUCUGGCAGAGGGGGGUAGAAUUCCACGUGUAGCAGUGAAAUGCGUAGAUAUGUGGAGGAACACCGAUGGCGAAGGCAGCCCCCUGGGUCAAGAUUGACGCUCAUGCACGAAAGCGUGGGGAGCAAACAGGAUUAGAAACCCUGGUAGUCCCAUG
rnacentral:rRNA from 1 species